CACGUAGGGCGCAAGCGUUGUCCGGAAUUAUUGGGCGUAAAGAGCUCGUAGGUGGUCUGUUGCGUCCGCUGUGAAAACUCGGGGCUUAACCCCGAGCCUGCAGUGGAUACGGGCAGACUAGAGGUAGGUAGGGGGAGAAUGGAAUUCCUGGUGUAGCGGUGAAAUGCGCAGAUAUCAGGAGGAACACCGGUGGCGAAGGCGGUUCUCUGGGCCUUACCUGACACUGAGGAGCGAAAGCGUGGGGAGCGAACAGG
rnacentral:rRNA from 1 species